AGUUUGAUCCUGGCUCAGAGCGAACGCUGGCGGCAGGCUUAACACAUGCAAGUCGAACGGGCGUAGCAAUACGUCAGUGGCAGACGGGUGAGUAACGCGUGGGAACGUACCUUUUGGUUCGGAACAACCCAGGGAAACUUGGGCUAAUACCGGAUAAGCCCUUACGGGGAAAGAUUUAUCGCCGAAAGAUCGGCCCGCGUCUGAUUAGCUUGUUGGUGAGGUAACGGCUCACCAAGGCGACGAUCAGUAGCUGGUCUGAGAGGAUGAUCAGCCACAUUGGGACUGAGACACGGCCCAAACUCCUACGGGAGGCAGCAGUGGGGAAUAUUGGACAAUGGGCGCAAGCCUGAUCCAGCCAUGCCGCGUGAGUGAUGAAGGCCCUAGGGUUGUAAAGCUCUUUUGUGCGGGAAUAUAAUGACGGUACCGCAAGAAUAAGCCCCGGCUAACUUCUUGCCAUCAGCCGCGGUAAUACGAAGGGGGCUAGCGUUGCUCGUAAUUACUGGGCGUAAAGGGUGCGUAGGCGGGUCUUUAAGUCGGGGGUGAAAUCCUGGAGCUCAUCUCCAGAACUGCCUUUGAUACUGAGGAUCUUGAGUUCGGGAGAGGUGAGUGGAACUGCUAGUGUAGAGGUGAAAUUUCGUAGAUAUUCUUAAGAACAUCAGUGGCGAAGGCGGUUCACUGGCUCUAUACUGACGCUGAGGCACGUAAGUGUGGGGAGCAAACAGGAUUAUAUACCCUGGUAUUCCUCGCCG
rnacentral:rRNA from 1 species